GUCGUGAGAUGUUGGGUUAAGUCCCGCAACGAGCGCAACCCUCGUCCCUAGUUACCAGCGGGUAAAGCCGGGAACUCUAGGGAGACUGCCGGUGUCAAACCGGAGGAAGGUGGGGACGACGUCAAGUCAUCAUGGCCCUUACGUCCAGGGCUACACACGUGCUACAAUGGCCGGUACAGAGCGUUGCCAACUCGCGAGAGUGCGCUAAUCGCUAAAAGCCGGUCUAAGUUCGGAUUGGAGUCUGCAACUCGACUCCAUGAAGCCGGAAUCGCUAGUAAUCGCGGAUCAGCUACGCCGCGGUGAAUACGUUCCCGGGCCUUGUACACACCGCCCGUCACGCCAUGGAAGCUGGGGGGACCUGAAGUCGGUGGGCUAACCGCAAGGGGGCAGCCGCCAAAGGUCAAUUCAGUGACUGGGGCGAAGUCGUAACAAGGUAGCCGUAGGGGAACCUGCGGCUGGAUCACCUCCUUUCUGGAAUGCCGAGUAAGGCAGCUCUUCGGAGCUGUGACGAAAGGCUUCUGGUGUCGCCCGCGCUGUAGCCGGCCCUCCCAAUUCUUCACUUUCAGCUCUUUGACAACCGAAGGUGGGAUGUUGUGCGGAUUUAACUCGCUGUGAGUUGAAUCCGGGGAAGGAAUCAACACCGAGAACAAGAACGAAGGGCGCAUGAUUAUGCGCCCAAACAAGUAGUGAGAUCAAACGCAAUAAGGCACACGGUGGAUGCCUUGGCAUUGAGAGGCGAUGAAGGGCGCGGUAAGCUGCGAUAAGCCUGGGGGAGCUGCACACGAGCUGUGAUCUCAGGAUGC
rnacentral:sRNA from 1 species